AAAAUGCGAUAACUAAUGUGAAUUGCAGAAUUAAAACGUGAAUCAUCGAAUCUUUGAACGCACAUUGCGCCCCUUGGUAUUCCAUGGGGCAUGCCUGUUCGAGCGUCAUUUGUACCCUCAAGCUUUGCUUGGUGUUGGGCGUCUUGUCCUCUUUGGAGGACUCGCCUUAAAACAAUUGGCAGCCGGCAUAUUGGUAUCGGAGCGCAGCACAAGUCGCACUUCUUUCCAUGAAUGUUGGCAUCCAUCAAGACUAUUUUUUCACUCUUGACCUCGGAUCAGGUAGGGAUACCCGCUGAACUUAA
rnacentral:misc_RNA from 1 species